UAAUACAGAGGGUGCGAGCGUUAAUCGGAAUUACUGGGCGUAAAGCGCGCGUAGGCGGCUUCGCAAGUCGGAUGUGAAAUCCCCGGGCUCAACCUGGGAACUGCAUUCGAGACUGCGUUGCUAGAGUAUGGGAGAGGGAAGUGGAAUUUCCGGUGUAGCGGUGAAAUGCGUAGAUAUCGGAAGGAACAUCAGUGGCGAAAGCGACUUCCUGGACCAAUACUGACGCUCAUGUGCGAAAGCGUGGGGAGCAAACAGGAUUAGAUACCCUGGUAGUCCACGCCAUAAACGAUGAGAACUGGAUGUCGGGAGGGUCUGCCUCUCGGUGUCGUAGCUAACGCGUUAAGUUCUCCGCCUGGGGAGUACGGCCGCAAGGUUGAAACUCAAAUGAAUUGACGG
rnacentral:rRNA from 1 species